rnacentral:rRNA from 1 species
GCUUACGGCCACACCUCCCUGAGCACGCCCGAUCUCCUCUGAUCUCGGAAGCUAAGCAGGGUCGGGCCUGGUUAGUACUUGGAUGGGAGACCGCCUGGGAAUACCAGGUGCUAUAAGCC